rnacentral:rRNA from 1 species
GUCUAUGGCCAUGCCCCCCUGAACAAGCCCGAUGUCUGAUCUCGGAAUCUAAGCAGGGUCAGGCCUGGUUAGUAUUUGGAUGGGAGACCACCUAGGAAGACCAGAUGCUGUAGGCA